AGGGCACCACCAGGAGUGGAGCCUGCGGCUUAAUUUGACUCAACACGGGAAAACCCACCCGGCCCGGACACUGGAAGGAUUGACAGAUUGAGAGCUCUUUCUUGAUUCAGUGGGUGGUGGUGCAUGGCCGUUCUUAGUUGGUGGAGCGAUUUGUCUGGUUAAUUCCGAUAACGAACGAGACUCUAGCCUACUAAAUAGAUCGUCGGCUUACAAACGCCGAUGAGACUUCUUAGAGGGACAGGCGGCGAUUCAGCCGCACGAAACAGAGCAAUAACAGGUCUGUGAUGCCCUUAGAUGUCCGGGGCCGCACGCGCGCUACACUGAAGUGAUCAGCGUGCAUUUUCAGCCUACUCUGCCAAGAGUGGGAAACCCAAUGAACCUUCUUCGUGAUUGGGAUAGGGGAUUGUAGUUAUUCCCCUUGAACGAGGAAUUCCCAGUAAGCGCGAGUCAUAAGCUCGCGUUGAUUACGUCCCUGCCCUUUGUACACACCGCCCGUCGCUACUACCGAUUGAAUGUUUU
rnacentral:rRNA from 1 species